rnacentral:rRNA from 1 species
UACGGAGGGGGGCUAGCGUUGUUCGGAAUUACUGGGCGUAAAGCGCACGUAGGCGGAUCAGCAAGUUAGGGGUGAAAUCCCGGGGCUCAACCCCGGAACUGCCUUUAAAACUGUUGGUCUGGAGGUCGAGAGAGGUGAGUGGAAUUCCGAGUGUAGAGGUGAAAUUCGUAGAUAUUCGGAGGAACACCAGUGGCGAAGGCGGCUCACUGGCUCGAUACUGACGCUGAGGUGCGAAAGCGUGGGGAGCAAACAGG